rnacentral:rRNA from 1 species
AUUGAACGCUGGCGGCAGGCCUAACACAUGCAAGUCGAGCGGAGCGGCGGACGGGUGAGUAAUGCAUAGGAAUCUGCCUGGUCGAGGGGGAUAACGACCGGAAACGGGCGCUAAUACCGCAUACUAUCAGAUGAGCCUAGGUCGGAUUAGCUAGUUGGUGGGGGAAAGGCCGACCCAGGCGACGAGCCUGAACUGGUCUGAGAGGAUGAUCAGGCACACUGGGACUGAGACACGGUCCAGACUCCUCCGGGAGGCAGCAGAGGGGAAUAUUGGACAAUGGGCGAAAGCCUGAUCCAGCCAUGCCGCGUGUGUGAAGAAGGCCUUCGGAUUGUAAAGCACUUUAAGUUGGGAGGCGUUACCAACAGAAGAAGCACCGGCUAACUUCGUGCCAGCAGCCGCGGUAAUUC